AAAGAAAAGGAGGGAGACACAUUACAUAUCUUGUUAACUUCAUCAUGUGUGUUUAUUUACUAGAUAUUUAAUUUAAUUUGAUGCAGUUUCAGCUGUAUUGAUUCGGUCAGGUUGUGUGCCCAAACGCGUGCCAAACGCGCUCAUCAGAUCAGAUAUAGAUCAGAAUAUAUCGAUAUAGAUCUAAAUGUAUGUGCUGACUCAGAUUAAUAGUUGUUGAUGAUUAUUUAUUGCACUGAAAUGUGCCUGACACUGUGGAAACCUGCCGGUGAGGCAUCAGUGACGUAUGUCGAUACGCCGCCGGUCUACCAAAAUACUACUAGACCAGCUGCGUUCCGCCUUGCGCUGAAAGCUGACCAGGUUUGAAUCGGCGAGCUUUCAGCGCACGUUACACGCCGGUGGCGAGCACGAAAAUGUCACUGCGCCAGCUGAUUCUGUCAACACCUCCCCCUGCCACGCCACCACGCCCAGCUUGGCGGAUCUCGGCUCGCCUCCGUGCGACUCAGUCCACGAAAAUACCAAACUCGCCUUACACCGGGCUCCGCCAGACGAAAAUACAACUGCGUGGGGCUCGCCGCCCUCCGCCGCCUCACCGGCGCGAACGAAAAUAGAGCCUUAAGUGUU